GGGCCAUAGCUCAGUGGGAGAGCAUCUGCUUUGCAUGCAGAAGGUCCCAGGUUCAAUCCCUGAUGGCAUCU